GACGAACGCUGGCGGCGUGCUUAAUACAUGCAAGUCGAACGGAAAGGCCCUGCUUUUGUGGGGUGCUCGAUUGGCGAACGGGUGAGUAUCACGCGAGUAAACUGUCCUUGACUUUGGGAUAUCUUCAGGAAACUGGGGCUAAUAUCGGAUAGGAGCUCCUGCUGCACGGUGGGGGUUGGAAAGUUUCGGCGGUUGGGGCUGGUCUCGCGGGUUAUCAGCUUGUUUGUGGGGUAGUUGCUUACCAAGGCUUUGACGGGUAGCCGGCCUUGGAGGGGGAACGGCCUCAAGAGGACUGAGAGACGCCGCAGUCUCCUACGGGACGCAGCGGUGGAGAGUAUUGCACAGCGAGCGGAAGCCUGAUGCAGCGGCGCCGGGUGCGUGAUGCCGGCCUUUGAGUGGUAAACCGCUGUCGCCGGUGACGAAGCGUGAUUGACGGUAAUGGGUAAGGAAGCACCGGCUAACUACGUG
rnacentral:rRNA from 1 species